rnacentral:rRNA from 1 species
UACGAGGGGAGCUAGCGUUGUUCGGCAUUACUGGGCGUACAGGGCGCGUAGGCGGCUUGGCAAGUUGGGUGUGAAAGCCCAGGGCUCAACCCUGGAAUUGCACUCAAGACUGCCUUGCUUGAAUUCAGUAGAGGUUGGUGGAAUUCCCAGUGUAGAGGUGAAAUUCGUAGAGAUUGGGAAGAACACCCGUGGCGAAGGCGGCCAACUGGACCGACAUUGACGCUGAGGCGCGAAAGCGUGGGGAUCAAACAGG